rnacentral:rRNA from 1 species
AGCAGCCGCGGUAAUUCCAGCUCCAAUAGCGUAUAUUAAAGUUGUUGCAGUUAAAAAGCUCGUAGUUGAAUUUCGGGAUCAGUAUGUUGGUCGUGCUUCGGUACGUACUGUCAUUACUGGUUUCUACCUUCUGAAGAACCUUGAUGUCAUUAAUUUGGUGUCUUGGGGAAUCAGGACUGUUACUUUGAAAAAAUUAGAGUGUUUAAAGCAAGCAUACGCUUGAAUACAUUAGCAUGGAAUAAUGAAAUAGGACGUUUGAUUCUAUUUUGUUGGUUUCUAGGAUCGACGUAAUGAUUAAUAGGGAUAGUUGGGGGCAUUAGUAUUCAAUUGUCAGAGGUGAAAUUCUUGGAUUUAUUGAAGACUAACUACUGCGAAAGCAUUUGCCAAGGAUGUUUUCAUUAAUCAAGAACGAAAGUUAGGGGAUCGAAGACGAUCAGAUACCGUCGUAGUCUUAACCAUAAACUAUGCCGACUAGGGAUCGGGUG